rnacentral:rRNA from 1 species
GAUGAACGCUGGCGGCGUGCUUAACACAUGCAAGUCGAACGAUGAAGCCCAGCUUGCUGGGUGGAUUAGUGGCGAACGGGUGAGUAACACGUGAGCAACCUGCCCCUGACUCUGGGAUAAGCGCUGGAAACGGCGUCUAAUACUGGAUAUGUCCCGUCACCGCAUGGUGUGCGGGUGGAAAGAUUUUUCGGUUGGGGAUGGGCUCGCGGCCUAUCAGCUUGUUGGUGAGGUAAUGGCUCACCAAGGCGUCGACGGGUAGCCGGCCUGAGAGGGUGACCGGCCACACUGGGACUGAGACACGGCCCAGACUCCUACGGGAGGCAGCAGUGGGGAAUAUUGCACAAUGGGCGGAAGCCUGAUGCAGCAACGCCGCGUGAGGGAUGACGGCCUUCGGGUUGUAAACCUCUUUUAGCAGGGAAGAAGCGAAAGUGACGGUACCUGCAGAAAAAGCACCGGUUAACUACGUG